CGGUACGUACUGGCAUUGUUGGUUUCUCCCUUCUGACGAAUCACGAUGUCAUUUAUUUGGCGUUGUGGGGAAUCAGGACUGUUACUUUGAAAAAAUUAGAGUGUUUAAAGCAGGCUCACGCUUGAAUACAUUAGCAUGGAAUAAUGAAAUAGGACGUUUGAUUCUAUUUUGUUGGUUUCUAGGAUCGACGUAAUGAUUAAUAGGGAUAGUUGGGGGCAUUAGUAUUCAAUUGUCAGAGGUGAAAUUCUUGGAUUUAUUGAAGACUAACUACUGCGAAAGCAUUUGCCAAGGAUGUUUUCAUUAAUCAAGAACGAAAGUUAGGGGAUCGAAGACGAUCAGAUACCGUCGCAGUCUUAACCAUAAACUAUGCCGACUAGGGAUCGGAUGAUGUUAAUUUUUUAAUGACUCAUUCGGCGCCUUACG
rnacentral:rRNA from 1 species